GGUGGAUAAGUGCUUACGUUCACUUCAUAUGAACUUAUGUUGUUAGUUGUCUCAUUUUCAAUCAUACAACUUCUCUUUAUUAUUAUACAUUUUUUAUGUGUGUAGUUUAUAUGUUGAUAUUUUUCUUAUAGUUUAUCUUAAUUUGCUUUCUCUUAAAACACAGCAAGUAUAUUUGAAAAGACCAAUCGGUAUUGAUAAAUAUACUGUGGAUUAACAUUUUCAUGGGUAUCAAUGUUCGUGGGAUAAGGAAAACUUGCAUGUUUGUGGAUAUUUAAUUUCGAGGUUUUGUCGAAGUUUGCAUACAAGCCUAUAGGAAAGUUUGUCAUUCGUUGAACAUUUAAUUUCGAUGUUUACAUUUACCCACGAAAACGACAAAAAUUGGUAUCCAACGAACAAUUAUGAAUCAACAGUUUAUGACUCUGGACCAC
rnacentral:lncRNA from 1 species